GGAGAAUCGUGUUCUGUCAUUGUACUCUUGAAUGCCGUGGAGCGAAAAUUUGUUUCGUCGAGCAUUACCCUGUUGUUAUUAGUACUUUCAUUUCGACUUCAUCAGCAUUUCUACACUUCUACCCGCUUCAUUUAAAUAUUUUUCAUAACUUCUACCUUUUUUUGUGCUUCGGGAAGGAUGCAGUGAUGCUUUAAAUCUAAACGUGUUUAUCACUCCUUCCUCUUUCUUCUGUUUCCUGAAAAGGAUCUAGUGGAACUUCAAAAGCCAAGAAUUUCUUUCCAUGAUGGGACUGCAUGGCUCCUCUUUGAUGACGGUCUUCACAGCAUCGAUAGUCACCGACUAUGUUCCUCGAAUCUUAUCUUGGACACAAAGGGACAAAGGAAGGAAAGUGUGCGAUGCCACACCACCGAGGCAUCCGUCACGAUUUUC